rnacentral:lncRNA from 1 species
GAGAAAAGCAACAACAGACAAAUGGGUUACAUCAAACAAACAGUCUGCACAACAACGGAAACAAUCAAAAGAGGAAAGAGAUAAUUUACAGAGUGGGGAAAACAUUAUAAAACUGCAUCUGUUAAGGGUAUGUAGAAUAUAUAAAGGUAAAUUAAAUCAAUCUAGUUUCAACAAAUAAAUUAUAUGAUUGAUAAUGGUCAAAGACUAUGAAUAGACAUUUCUCAGAAGAAGGAAUACAAAUGACCAUCAGGUAUACAAAAAUGUUCAAUAUAAUUAAUCAAGCAGGGAAAUGCAAAUAAAAAGAACUCAAAAAGCUGAGCAUCAGAAAAGCAAAUAACCCAAUCAAGAAAUUGGCAAAAGAACUAAAGAGACACUUCUCAAAAGAAGACAUGCAAAUGACCAAUAAAUAUAUGAAACAAAUGUUCAACACCUCUAGCAUAAAUUAAAUGCAAAUUAAAACUACAGUGGUAUUUUAUCUCAUUCUAGUAAGAAUGGCUAAAAAUAAUAAUAAAUGUUUGUGAGGAUGUGGAGAAGAUGGCACACUCAUACAAUGCUGAUGGGACUGCAAAUCAAUGUACUCUAGAAAGCAGUAUGGAGAUUUCUCAAAAAAAGGAGGAAUGGAACCACUAUAUGACCCAGACAUCCUACUCCUCAGUAUAUACCCAAAAGACUUCAAAUCAGCAUACCAUCAUGAUGCAGCCACAUUGAUGUUUAUAGUAGCACAGUUCACAGUAGCCAAGCUGUGGAAUCAGCCAAGGUACCUGUCAACAGAUGAAUGGAUAAAGAAAAUGUGGUGUAAGUACACAAUGGAGUUCUGAUCAGCCAUAAAGAAAAACGAAAUUAUGGCAUUUGCUGGUAAAUAGAUGGAACUUGAAAACAUCAUGGUAAGUAAAAUAGGACAGACCCAGAAAGUCAAGGCUGGUUUUCUUCUGAUAUGUGGAAGCUAGACCAAAAUAAGAAAAAAAGAAAAAAGGAGGUGGGAAAUUCCAUGAAAACAGAAGAUAAAUCAGUGGAGUAGAGAAAAGAAAUUGGAAUGGGAGGAGAGAUGGGAAAAACGAGGCACUAUGUACUAAAUCUGACCAAACUUUCCUAUGUAUAUAUAUCAAUAUGCCACAGGGGAAUUUCACCUUUAUGUAUGUCUA